rnacentral:rRNA from 1 species
GGUUAAGCGACUAAGCGUACACGGUGGAUGCCCUGGCAGUCAGAGGCGAUGAAGGACGUGCUAAUCUGCGAAAAGCGCCGGCGAGGUGAUAUGAACCUUUGACCCGGCGAUGUCCGAAUGGGGAAACCCAGUGCAAUCCGUUGCACUAUCGUUAACUGAAUACAUAGGUUAACGAGGCGAACCGGGGGAACUGAAACAUCUAAGUACCCCGAGGAAAAGAAAUCAACCGAGAUUCCCCCAGUAGCGGCGAGCGAACGGGGAGCAGCCCGGAGUCUGAAUCAGCUUGUGUGUUAGUGGAACGGUCUGGAAAGUCCGACGGUACAGGGUGAUAGUCCCGUACACGAAAGCACACUUGCUGUGAACUCGAAGAGUAGGGCGGGACACGUGGUAUCCUGUCUGAAUAUGGGGGGACCAUCCUCCAAGGCUAAAUACUCCUGACUGACCGAUAGUGAACCAGUACCGUGAGGGAAAGGCGAAAAGAACCCCGGCGAGGGGAGUGAAAAAGAACCUGAAACCGUGUACGUACAAGCAGUGGGAGCCUCUUUAUGGGGUGACUGCGUACCUUUUGUAUAAUGGGUCAGCGACUUAUAUUCUGUAGCAAGGUUAACCGUAUAGGGGAGCCGAAGGGAAACCGAGUCUUAACUGGGCGUUAAGUUGCAGGGUAUAGACCCGAAACCCGGUGAUCUAGCCAUGGGCAGGUUGAAGGUUGGGUAACACUAACUGGAGGACCGAACCGACUAAUGUUGAAAAAUUAGCGGAUGACCUGUGGCUGGGGGUGAAAGGCCAAUCAAACCGGGAGAUAGCUGGUUCUCCCCGAAAGCUAUUUAGGUAGCGCCUCGUGAACUCAUCUUCGGGGGUAGAGCACUGUUUCGGCUAGGGGGCCAUCCCGGCUUACCAACCCGAUGCAAACUACGAAUACCGAAGAAUGUUAUCACGGGAGACACACGGCGGGUGCUAACGUCCGUCGUGAAGAGGGAAACAACCCAGACCGCCAGCUAAGGUCCCAAAGUCAUGGUUAAGUGGGAAACGAUGUGGGAAGGCACAGACAGCCAGGAUGUUGGCUUAGAAGCAGCCAUCAUUUAAAGAAAGCGUAAUAGCUCACUGGUCGAGUCGGCCUGCGCGGAAGAUGUAACGGGGCUAAACCAUGCACCGAAGCUGCGGCAGCGACGCUUAUGCGUUGUUGGGUAGGGGAGCGUUCUGUAAGCCGUUGAAGGUGUCCUGUGAGGGGUGCUGGAGGUAUCAGAAGUGCGAAUGCUGACAUAAGUAACGAUAAAGCGGGUGAAAAGCCCGCUCGCCGGAAGACCAAGGGUUCCUGUCCAACGUUAAUCGGGGCAGGGUGAGUCGACCCCUAAGGCGAGGCCGAAAGGCGUAGUCGAUGGGAAACAGGUUAAUAUUCCUGUACUUGGUGUUACUGCGAAGGGGGGACGGAGAAGGCUAUGUCAGCCGGGCGACGGUUGUCCCGGUUUAAGCAUGUAGGCGGAGGUUCCAGGUAAAUCCGGUACCUUAUUAACGCUGAGGUGUGAUGACGAGGCACUACGGUGCUGAAGUGAUAAAUGCCCUGCUUCCAGGAAAAGCCUCUAAGCAUCAGGUAACACGAAAUCGUACCCCAAACCGACACAGGUGGUCAGGUAGAGAAUACCAAGGCGCUUGAGAGAACUCGGGUGAAGGAACUAGGCAAAAUGGUGCCGUAACUUCGGGAGAAGGCACGCUGAUAUGUAGGUGAAGUCCCUGCGGACGGAGCUGAAAUCAGUCGAAGAUACCAGCUGGCUGCAACUGUUUAUUAAAAACACAGCACUGUGCAAACACGAAAGUGGACGUAUACGGUGUGACGCCUGCCCGGUGCCGGAAGGUUAAUUGAUGGGGUUAGCGGCAACGCGAAGCUCUUGAUCGAAGCCCCGGUAAACGGCGGCCGUAACUAUAACGGUCCUAAGGUAGCGAAAUUCCUUGUCGGGUAAGUUCCGACCUGCACGAAUGGCGUAAUGAUGGCCAGGCUGUCUCCACCCGAGACUCAGUGAAAUUGAACUCGCUGUGAAGAUGCAGUGUACCCGCGGCAAGACGGAAAGACCCCGUGAACCUUUACUAUAGCUUGACACUGAACACUGGUCCUUGAUGUGUAGGAUAGGUGGGAGGCUUUGAAGCGUGGACGCCAGUCUGCGUGGAGCCAACCUUGAAAUACCACCCUUUAAUGGCUGGUGUUCUAACGUAGACCCGUAAUCCGGGUUGCGGACAGUGUCUGGUGGGUAGUUUGACUGGGGCGGUCUCCUCCCAAAGAGUAACGGAGGAGCACGAAGGUUGGCUAAUCCUGGUCGGACAUCAGGAGGUUAGUGCAAUGGCAUAAGCCAGCUUGACUGCGAGCGUGACGGCGCGAGCAGGUGCGAAAGCAGGUCAUAGUGAUCCGGUGGUUCUGAAUGGAAGGGCCAUCGCUCAACGGAUAAAAGGUACUCCGGGGAUAACAGGCUGAUACCGCCCAAGAGUUCAUAUCGACGGCGGUGUUUGGCACCUCGAUGUCGGCUCAUCACAUCCUGGGGCUGAAGUAGGUCCCAAGGGUAUGGCUGUUCGCCAUUUAAAGUGGUACGCGAGCUGGGUUUAGAACGUCGUGAGACAGUUCGGUCCCUAUCUGCCGUGGGCGCUGGAGAAUUGAGGGGGGCUGCUCCUAGUACGAGAGGACCGGAGUGGACGCAUCACUGGUGUUCGGGUUGUCAUGCCAAUGGCACUGCCCGGUAGCUAAAUGCGGAAGAGAUAAGUGCUGAAAGCAUCUAAGCACGAAACUUGCCCCG